rnacentral:rRNA from 1 species
UACGAAGGGGGCUAGCGUUGCUCGGAAUCACUGGGCGUAAAGGGCGCGUAGGCGGCCAUUCAAGUCGGGGGGUGAAAGCCUGUGGCUCAACCACAGAAUUGCCUUCGAUACUGUUUGGCUUGAGUUUGGUAGAGGUUGGUGGAACUGCGAGUGUAGAGGUGAAAUUCGUAGAUAUUCGCAAGAACACCAGUGGCGAAGGCGGCCAACUGGACCAACACUGACGCUGAGGCGCGAAAAGCGUGGGGAGCAAACAGG